rnacentral:sRNA from 1 species
GCUGGGUAUGGUGGUGCAAGCCUGUAAUCCCAGCAGCCUGGGAAGCUGAAGAAGGAGGAUCACGUGUUCAAAGCCUCAGCAAAAGCAAGGCACUAAGCAACUCAGUGAGACUCUGUCUCUU